GUUUACAUCCAUACCACCCUGAAUGUGCCUGGUCUCAUCUGAUCUCAGAAGCUAACCAGGCCUGAGAUGGGAUCCCACUUGGAUGGGGGAACACUUGAGUAACAGGAGGCUCUGGUCC
ensembl:rRNA 5S_rRNA 5S ribosomal RNA